UCCGCGUCGAGCUUCACCUUGAUCUUGCGCCGUCAUCCUCACCGGGAGCAGCGCCGCCUCCGCUUCGCGCGGCCAACCUUCAAACCCAUCCCUUUCACCCUCUCCCCGCCAAGGUCAUACUCGACCAACACAAGCCAGGUACAGAUUGGUUCUUUUUAUGCCAUAUUGUAUACUGUGAGAGAUUAUCACUGUCAUCAUGGCCCCAGCUUCUACAAACAGGAGCUCCUCGACGCCUCUCUUAGUCUUUGAUACCAUGUCUCGACAUGACUUUUGCAUAUGCAGGUUACAUACUCUCGUGAUAAGUUUUUAGCUCCAUUCUUUCUCACAUGUCAUGAAUCCAGAUUGGUUAUUUGGCUGUUUUUUUGUGCAUGAUUUUUGUUCAGAAGUUCCUAAUUGUUUGAUCCAAGUGGACCUUUUCCAUUUGUAUUUGAGAGCUUCAUUCUUCUCUGAAAUUUGUUGCAAGUAUCAUUUACAUCAUGUCCCAUACAGUUUUGUUGUACCGCUUAAUGUGUUGGAAAGUUUGGCUCGUGAAAUAUAUUUAGUAGUCAUAUUUUCUGUGCACAGAUGAAUCUCUCUCCUUUGAAGAUGGCUAUGAAGAAAAGAACUAAUCAGUUGUAGGAUGGUUACAUUACCACAUGGGAGAGAAUAUGUUUGUUGUUGUGAUGUGCGCAAGUCCAGCGUUAAUUUAUGAUUAUGGUAUACAUGCAUGAUCUAUUUAGAAAAAUGGUUAUUUGCUUGGCCACCGAGGCCAUGCUGCUGCUGCGCUCUAUCUUGGUGAUAUUUAAUUUUGUUAAAGUAUGAUAAUUUUUCCCUCUUGGUGGAUAUUUAAUUUUGUUCAGGUCAUUUGAUUACAGAGACUUAUUUAUUAUUGUAAAGGAUUUUCCCAGAAAUUUGCCCUCCAAAGUGAUAAUUUGCCUUGAAUGUAAUUAAAUAUUGUUCACCAUCUAAUAUGUUUUGUACUGGAUAUGGCAGAUACACAUCUGCACAGGAGAUAAAUGAUAGCCUUAUGGACUACCCCCUAUGAAUGUAUGCUCUAACUCCAAUCAAUGAUCUGC